rnacentral:lncRNA from 1 species
AGCAUGCUAGGGUUUCUUUAUUUUAUUAUUAUCUAAUCCCUCAUGUCUUAUGGGAGCGCAUUGUAAGUUAUUUAUGCUAUCCAGGUACGCCCCCCCCCCCCCCCCCUAUCGCCUACUUUCUAAAUUUUGUAAACAAUCGUGUCACUAUGAAGUAUGCAUAUGUUUGAUAAUCCUUAGGUGUUUAGAUGUAUGUUUGAUUCACUAUGAUUAAAUACAUGUUGUGUGUUAUACUUCUAUACUAACUCUGAUGUUUUAUGAUAGCGCUUGAGAAGCGGUCCGGGUACGCAUCCUAACCUUUCUUUUAUGGCAAUUUGAUCUUGUUUAGCAUGCAAAUUUUUUGAAAUCACCUAGCCUACUUAGGUAUCCAUAAUUAACCGAUUAAUUGCCAUAUUCCCCUUAACUUAAUUAGUAGAGACCUCUUUAGGGCUUAGAGGGGUGCUACCUCCUAGAGGUACCUUCCCAAUAAGUAACCUGAUCCCCGGACCAAGACUUGGGUUUUCAAAGACACACUUUUCCAAAAAUUAUGGAGUCAUUUUUUUUAGGGUUUUAUUUCUUGUUUUAUUUUCCCUUCAAAAAUAAAAAUAAAAUAAGUGGCGACUCCAACUUUUUUUCAAAAAAUCAAAUUUUCACAAAUAAAUAAAAAGCGAGUCUCGCCAAUUGAGUGGGGACGCACGUGAAAAAUGCGGGUCCACACCAACAAAUCUCCCACUUGGAGACUAGCUCAAUCACCAACAUCAAACCGCUAUCCUCCAAGAAACAAUCACUCGUCCCUGUAACUCAUUCUCCUAUCCUCAAGCUAGAAGACUAAUUGAAGCUGCACACAGCUUCAACUUCUCAAUAGUAACACCCUUAGUCAACAUGUCUGUCGGGUUCUUAGAUCCACAAAUCUUCUCAUAUUACCAGUUUAUUUUCAACAAGAUAACGGAUAAAGUGAUAUUUUGUUUGUAUAUGCUUCAACUUUGAAUGAAAAGCCGAAUUUUUGGCAAGAAAAAUUGCACUCUGACUAUCACUGUGUAGAAUGUCCAUCUCCUGCUUCUUACCCAAUUCAUCUAAGAAACCAUAUAGCCAAAUCAUCUCUUUUUCAACUUCAGUUGCUACAACAUACUCAACUUCUGUAGUAGACAAAGUAACGAUCUUCUGUAGAUUUGAAGUCCAUGAUAUAGUUGUACCACCUAGAGUAAAAACAAACCCAGUAGUACUCUUUCUACUAUCAAUAUCACCAGCAAAAUCAGCAUCUACAUAACCCCGCAGUUUCAAAUUUGCACCUGUGAAGCAAAGACAUGUAUCUAAUGAACCCUUCAGAUAUCUUAGAAUCCACUUGACUGCCUCUCAAUGCUGCUUUCCAAGCCUACUCAUGAAUCUACUCACAACUCCCACUGCAUGUGCAAUGUCUGGCCUUGUACACACCAUAACAUACAUCAAGCUGCCAAUAGCUGAAACAUAGGGCACCUUGCUCAUAUGGUCCCUUUCUUCUUCUGUCUUUGGUGAAUGUUCUUUACUUAGUUUGAAAUGACUACCCAAGGGUGUGCUCACUGGAUUAGCUUCAUUCAUGUUGAACCUGCUAAGAACUUUCUUCACAUACUCUAACUGUGAAAGCUUCAAUGUACCAUUAGCCUUGUCUCUAAUGAUUCUCAUACCAAGGAUUUGUUUUGCAGCUCCCAAAUCCUUUAUUGCAAACUGUUUGGACAAUUGCUUCUUCAGAUUAUUAAUUUUCUCAAUGUCAGGCCUUGCAAUAAGCAUAUCAUCCACAUACAACAAUAAUAUGAUGUAAGAAUUAUCAAAAGACUUAACAUAGCAACAGUGAUCAGCUUCACAUCUCUUGAACCCAAUUCUAUGCAUAAAAUUGUCAAACUUCUUAUACCACUGUCUAGGAGCUUGUUUAAGGUCAUACAAGCUCUUUCUCAGUUUACAUACUAGAUUCUCUUAUCCCUGAACAAUGAACCCUUCUGGCUGAAUCAUGUAAAGGUCUUCCUCCAAGUCACCAUGAAGGAAUGUUGUCUUCACAUCUAAUUGCUCAAGAUGUAAGUUUUCUGCAGCCACCAUUCCAAGUACAAGUCUAAUUGUUGACAUCUUCACAACUGGAGAAAAUAUCUGUGUAGUCAAUGCCCUCCUUCUGCUGGAACCUUUUAACAACUAAUCUAGUUUUGUAACAUUUGCUACCAUCAUGCUCGUUCUUUAUUCUGUAUACCCACUUGUUGUGCAAAGCCUUCUUUCCUAUUGGCAAUUCAGUCAGUUCCCAUGUCUGAUUCCCUAAUAGGGAAUCCAUCUCAUCCUUCAUGGCUAACUCCCACUUGCUUGAAUUUUCAUCUUGCAAGGCUUCAUCAUAACACUCUGGCUCACCACCAUCAGUUAAUAGGAGAUAAUUUAAAACAGGUGAAUAACGCUGCGGAGGUCUAAUGUUCUUAGAAGAUCUGCAAACUUCAGCUACAGGUGUACUCAAAUCUACCUAUGAAUUUACAUUCUCCUCAUCUUCUUCACCCCCUUUUUGGACAGUACUUUCAGUCAAUUCAUCUAAGUUGACAAACUCAAAUUUCUUUUGAUCUAUCUCUGUAACAUCUGACACUACAGUUGACCUGUCCUUGUACAUAACAUGUUCAUUAAAUAUCAAAUUUCUACUUUUGAUGAUUUUCCUGUUUUGUUCAUCCCAAAACCUAUAGCCAAAUUUCUCAUCACCAUAGCUAAUGAAAAAACAUAUUUUUGACUUUGCAUCAAGUUUACUACGAGCAUCAGAAUCAAUAUGAACAUAAGAAACACAACCAAAAACUUUUAAAUGUGAAAACUUCACCUCUUUACCGCUCCAAACCUCCUCAAGAAGUCUGAACUCCAUGGGAACUGAUGGUCCUCGGUUUAUCAAGUUAGCUGCAGUGCUAACAGCAUUAGCCCAAAAAGUUUUUGGUAGUCCAGCAUGCAACCUCAUACUUAUAGCACGCUCAUUGAGAGUUCUGUUCAUGCGCUCAGCCACACCAUUCUAUUGUGGUGUCCUAAGAAUGGUCUUCUCCAUCCUAAUUCCCUGUGCAGCACAAUACUCACUGAACCCUCCAUCUAUGUACUCUCCUCCAUUAUCUGAUCUCAAACAUUUUACUUUCAAACUUAUUUCUGUCUCAACCAUGGUCUUCCAUUUCUUAAAAGUUUCAAAUACAUCAGAUUUAUUUUUCAGAAAAUAAACUCAUACCUUUCUACUUGAAUCAUCAAUAAAAGUGAUGUAGUAUCUUGAACCUCCUAUGGAUGCAACUGGAAAAGGCCCCCACAAAUCAGUGUGUACUAGUUCUAAUUUUUCAGCCUUUGGUGUCCUGCUAGUUUUCAAGAAGCUCACCUUUUUUUGAUUUCCUAAGAUGCAACUUUCACACAUGUCAAAAUCAAUGGACUUCAAUUCUGGUAGUUUUCCUUUUGACAGCAACAUCUUCAUCCCUUUCUCGCUCAUGUGACCAAGUCUACGGUGCCAUAGGCUUGUAUCAGUACUUGCAUCAACAACUGCAAUUAUGUCUCUUGGACAUGAGGUCAUAUAUAGAGUACCAAUCUUCUUUCCACGAGCCAAUACCCUAGCUCCCUUUGUAACCUUCCAAGUACCAUCAAUAAAUAGUAUUGCAUGUCCUUUAUCAUCAAGUUGUCUAAUAGAAAUCAGAUUCCUCCUCAGGUCAGGAAUAUGUCGAACCUUCUCCAGUAACCAAAUAGACCCAUUGGGCAACGAUAUUCGGACGUCUCCCAAACCCACAACAUCCAAGGCUAAACCAUCAGCCAAAUACACCUUACCAAAAUCACCUGCAACAUAAUUUUGUAUGAUUUCUCGGUGUGGAGUGGUAUGAAACGAAGCUCUUGAAUUCAAAACCCAAUCAUCAAGUGGAUUGUCUACUGCAAGAAGUAAUGCAUCCUGUACCUCUUUUGUUACAGCAUUAGCAAAAUAUCUUUAUUCUUCUUCUUAAAGCUUUUACAUUGCCUUUUAGAGUGACCUGAUCUAGAUUUGCUUCUGUUCCGAUUAGAAUUUCUGGAAUUUGAUCUACCCCGAUUUGAAUUUCUGUCAUUACCUUUGCCUUUUGUCUCAAGGUUUAGGGCAAAACCAGAUCCUGAGAUUUCACCUACAUCUCUUCGAUGAAUCUCCUCAGCCAUAAUUAAAUCUCGUAUAUCAUUGUACUUAAGCUUUUCCUUUCCCGUAGAAUUGCUUACUGCCAUCCUCAUUGCCUCCCAACUGUUUGGCAAAGAAGCCAAGACGAUCAGAGCACGAAUCUCAUCAUCAAAAUCAAUUUCUACAGACGACAAUUGAUUUGUGAUUGUAUUAAAUUCAUUCAGAUGUUGUGCUACUGAUGCAUUCUCUGUCAUCUUCAAAUUGAACAAUUUCUUCAUCAGAUGCACCUUAUUGUUUGCGGAUGGCUUUUCAUACAUACCGAACAAAGCCUUCAUCAAAUUUGCUAUGGUCUUCUCCUUCACAACAUUAUGUGCAACAGACCUAGACAAAGUUAACCUAAUAACUCCUAGAACCUGUCUGUCAAGAAGCGCCCAUUCCUCAGCCUUCAUACUCUCAGGUUUUGUCCCUAAAAGAGGCAGAUGCAAUUUCCUCCCAUAGAGAUAAUCUUCAAUCUGCAUCAUCCAAUACGCAAAGUCUGUGUCAUCAAACUUUUCUAUUCCAGACGUCUUUCCUAUUUUCUCUGUCAUUGCUCCCACUCAAACCUAACCCUAGGCUCUGAUACCAGUUGAAGGGAAUUAAACCGAAUUCCCAACCCGUGAGAAACAAAAAAAAAUAGAAAAAACACACGCCAAAGAAAAACAAUCACACACACAAGACAGUAUUUACAUGGUUCGGUAAUUUACCUACGUCCACGAAGUUACAGGGAUAUCACUAUUAUCAGGAAAGAAUACAAAGUUCAACCACAGCGACUACAAUAUUUUCUCUCUAUAUAUAACAUGGCAACAACAUCACACUAAAAAACCCUAAUUACAAAAGGUGGUUCCACAAUGGGCUAAACGGGCCCAACAGGCCUCAGUAAAUCUCUUAUUAAAAAGUCAUGCAAUAUUAUUCGGGUUGGGUCGUCAAACCGGAUCAAACAAAACUAGGCUCCACAAAGCCCAACAGUAGCCCCUAUGGAUUUCUUAUUCUUGGUUCGAUAAGCGCAUAAAACGCCUAAUAGCUUGUCUACCCAUUUUCCUUUUACUCCUUCGAGCCUUUUCUUUAAUGAAUUUAGCGACUUCUUGUUGAUUACCUCUGCCUAUCCGUUACUUUGAGGAUAUCUAGGAGUUGAACAAAGAUUUUUUAUCUUUAGUUCUAAACAAAAUGUCUAGAAGACAUUGCUAUCGAAUUGCGACCCAUUAUCUAUGACAAUUGCUUGGGGAAUUCCAAAUUGGCACACAAUAUUCUUUCAAACGAAUUUAAAAACAUAUUUAUCCUUGAUGCUGGCAUAGGAUUCGGCUUCCACCCACUUGCUGAAAUAAUUUGUUGCUACAAGCAACAAUUUUUUAUUUUUUUUUUUUUUUUUUGUGUCGCACCAAUUGGGAGCGGACCAACUAUAUCUAUUGCCCCUUACACAAACGAUCAAGGACUUGUAACCAAUUAAGGUACUCAAAACAGUAUUUCGAGUAUGGGAGCAUAUCUUUGACAUUGGUCAUACUUCUUGACGUAGCUUUCUGCAUCUUUUUUCAUGGUGUGCCAAUAGUAACUUUGGGAAUAGGCUCGAUGUGCCAGAGUUUGUUUGCCCGAUGAUUUCUACAUGUACCCUCGUGUAAUUUUGCUAGGAUAUAUUGCACCUCCAUAUCAUUUAGGCAUUUGAGAUAAGGUCCCCUAAAUGAUCAUCUAUACAGUUGUUCGUUUAUCAGAGUAUAUUGUGCGGCUUGUACUCGGAUUUUAUGAGUUUCCCUCCUAUCCUUAAUGACUUCUCCCAUGUGUAGAUAUUUCACAAUGUCUUCCAUCUACCCCAUAUCCAUUUAGACAAUAUCAUUUACUUAUUCAUGAGAAAUUGAGAAAGAGACUUGGUGAUAGAUUGGCAACAUCGUGGUUUCUUGUAUUGGCAAGGCGGUAGCAACCUCGGCUAGUGCAUCCACUCAUCCAUUCUUCUCUCAAGGUACACGUCAAAUCAACCAUCCUUCCACCUUUUUCAUUUGAGCAUCCACUAGGGCAAGAUACCGAGCCAUGCACUCGUCUCUUACUUCAUAUUCUCUUUGAAUCUGUCCAACCACUAUUUGUGAAUCACUUCUACGUUCUACUUUUGUGGCGAUAAGAGCCAAUGCUAGAUUAAGUCCAAUUAGGAUUACUUCGUAUUUCGCCUCAUUAUUAGACAUUGAAAAGUCAAGCCACACAGCUUGCUCAAUUUGUUCUCCCAUGGGAGAUUGCAACAUUGUUCCCACCCCGGCCCCUAAUGUUCUUGAUGAUUAAUCGUCUACAUGGAAAAUCCACCAUUGAGUUUCACUUCCAGGCUUCAUCCAUUCUUAGGGUAGUUCAGCUAUGAAAUCAUCAAGUACUUGUCCCUUUAAGGACAACCAAGGUUUGUACCAUAUGUCGUAUUCACUUAACUCAAUUGUCCAUUUUAUCAUUCAUCCAGAUAGAUCCGACUUAUGCAAAAUGACUCGUAAUGAUAGAUUUGUCAAAACCGUUAUUUGGUGAGCUUGAAAAUAUGGACGAAGCUUUUUGGGAUGAUCCGCAAUGUAAGGGUCAUUUGUUCCUUGGGAAUAUAGUGUCUCUACGUCUACCAAAGCUUUGCUCACGUAGUAGAUGGGAUUUUGCUCACUGUGUUGAUUGUGCUAGAAUAGAACAACGCUAACAACGAAGUUUGAUACGACUAAAUACAUGCAAUGAUGAAAAUAUCGAUAAUUACGGAUAUAUCGGUACUUUGAUUUUACGAAUAUAUCGAAUAUUUCGGAGAUAUAUCGACGGAUAUUUUGGAAAUAAAUAUCGGUAAGCUUAAAAUUGUUAAAAACUCAUGAAAAUGUAAGAAAAAUCUCAUAAUAAUAUAAUUAAAAAUAUAAUAGACAUUUUAAAGUUAUUUUAUUGAAAUUUUUUAUAUAUGUAUAACAUGAUUUAUCAUAUUUAAUAAUAAUAUUGUAUACAUUGAUAAAAAUAUGAAUUUUAUAAGUGUACAUUUAUUAUUAAAUUACACCUAAUAUUAUCAUAUUUGAUUAUAAUAUAUCUAAUUUUAAAAUAUAUAUUAGUAUUAAAAUAUGAUCCAUUUAAUUCAAUUGUAUUAAACAAUAUAAAAUAAUAUAUAUAAUUUUUUAAUAUUUAAUUAAUUAUUAAUGAUAUUAAAAACAUUAUAAAGAAAAUUAUAUAAUUUUUAUAUUUUUGGUAAUUAAUUAAAAGACUUUGCAUUUAAUUAUAAAAUAAUUAUAAUUAAUUUGCUCUUUAAAAUAUUCUUAUAUUUUCUUUAUAUAAUGAGUUUAAGUAUAUAUAUAUUUGCUGCAUAUUAUAUGUUAGCCCAAGUGGUAAGCGGGUGAACCCCAAACCUUUUGGUUUGGGGUUCAAAUCCUCUCGGCAGCAAGCAAAUGGGAGUGCACUGUAGCGCAUAUGACUUUCGUUGACCCACGUUGACCAUGCGAUAUAUCGGGGAAAAAUCGUCGAUUUAUCGACAAAUCACCGAUAUAUCGCGAGAAAUAGGUUAUUUCUCGCGAUAAAUUCCGAAAUAUCGUCGAACCGAUAUUUCUCCAUGAAAUAUCAUGUCGAAACCCUUCGAUACACGAUAUUUCGGCGAUAUAUCGCCAAAAUAUCGCGACAUUUUCUUCCUUGAGUACAUGUACAACUCUUAUUUGGCCUCAAGGAUGCUCAAAAUUGGUGGUUCUAAGUGAUACUAUUUUAUGGCUUCAAAGGCAAGUGCACAUUCACUUGUCCAACCAAACACUUUUGUUCCCCACAUAAUGUUGAAAAAAUGGCAAAGUUUAUCAAUGAAGCAUGCUAUGAAUCAUCCCAAGGCAGUUAAAUGGUCGAUCUAGCGCUACACCUCCUUCUUGAUGUUAAGAGUAAGGGAUUCUAGCACUGCUUUGACUUGGGUUGGAUUCACUUCUAUGCCCUUCUACGUUGCUAUAAAUUCGAGGAACUUACUCUGAAUACGCAUUUGAGCGAACUGAGUUUCAUGUCAUGCUUGUGCAUUAAUUUGAAUGCUUCUUCCAAGUGAUGAAGGUGCUCGAAACAAUUUUUACUUUUGAUGACAAUGUCAUCAAUAUAGACUUCCACUAUGAGACCUAUUAAAGGCUUAAAAAUGCGAGUCAUCAACCAUUGAUAGGUAGCACAAGCAUUCUUCAACCCAAAUGGCAUGACUUUGUAAUAAUACAACCCUUGUGGAGUAAUGAAUGCCGAUUUUUCUAUCCUCACCCCUUUAUCCCCUCCAAAAUUGUGUAGACUCCUCCAAAAAUCCUAAUCAUGUCUAUCUUCCUUUCUUAAUGAGAAUUCCUCCCAAAAAAAACUCUUUCAUUUCCUUCUCAAAUUUUCCAAGUUGUGAUCCUCAAUCUCAAAUCAUCCUCCCUAUCCAAAAGUCCUCUUAGUUGUGGACGCUCUCCUGCAAUAAAUGGAGGCCUACCACCUUCCUUAAAACUACUUCAUCUUUCCUUAAACUCGCAAUCUCUAUAUAUGCAGCCCAUAGACUCCUUCUAAGAUCCUAUGUGUGUGAAUCCCUUUUUGUUCUAUGGCAACCCUUCUCUUCCUAAAAUUUGUGUAUCAUUUCUCUACUUCCCUUAUGUGUCUUUAAAUUCAAAGAAAGUCUUAUGGCAGCCACCUUCCAAAGAGAGUCCUCUUGAUUUUAAAGUCUCCAAAACCGUGAAUAAUUUCCAUCAAUAAUUCAUGGUAGCCCUCUUAAUCUAAAGUUUCUAAAAUAGUGAUCUAAAGAAUGUCCACAGUAUCAAACUCUCCAUGGUAGCCGUCCUCAAGAAAUCCCACCUCAAUCUAAAAUCUCCUCCUCUCAAAGUCUCACCAUGCCAUCUACCUCUUUAUAGAAUCCUCUCAAUUUUAAAUUCUUUCAUAUGGUGGUUGCACCCUCAAAGGAAAAUUCCAUGUCGUGAACUAUGUCUAAGAUGAAGUCUAUUACAAUACCAAUUAAAAAAAUACAGGAACCAAAUACACUUGACAUGGCACUUAACCAAUGUUUGAACCAAAUACAGGAACUUGACAUGACAGUUGAAUCAACAAGCAUGUAGAGAACUCAUUUCAAGCACUUUGAGAUAUAACAUACACUCAUUUUCUUUUUUUAAGAGCUCCAUUGUAUCAUGUAUUUCUUUCAACAUGUGCUUAGCCAUCAAAUAAGACGUGAAUGAAUAUAUCCUUAUUUAUCGCAUCGGUUUUUAUAAAUCAUUAUGAUCACAUUUUAUACCCUAGUAAAGGUUUUGUGUAUGUUAUUCUAAUAUGAUAUUUAUGAUUAUGAUUUGAUACAAAGUAAAAGGACGCCAUUGAAAAAACACUACCUCAAAGUUCAAAGGCACGAGACAAAAAGAAGACCAUCUAUUAUCACAUCCUAGUGUUAUGCUCAUCAUCGGCGACUUAUAUUUCACAUAAGGUAUUGUAAUAUAAAGGUGAGAAUACUUCUUAAAACAAGAUUUUGAAGCAUUUUUAAAAUAGAUGAAACAUGCUUAAUUCAAUAAACUAAAUGGGAGAAUGCAACAAGACACGCAAGUGAUAAACUAUACUAAUCCAUGCCAAAAUUUGGCCAAUGAGUAGAAAUCACACGCAAGUGAUAAACUAGUCAAGGAAGGCCCAAUAGGAGAGUUGGAACAUGCAUAAGAUGUUUCUUCUCAUGGUCAAUGAGUAGAAGAUGAUACAGACACUACACUUCUAGGUGAGGACGGCCCAUUUAGAUUUCUAUAUGAGAAUCUCAACGGUAGAUUCCAUCUUAUGACAUCCCAAAGAUAUUAAUUAUUAAUCAAGACAAUGUUUUAAUAUAAUUCUUACAUCUGUGAAAAUAACAAUAUUAAUAUAAAAAAAUAUUGAAACUUAUAAAUUAAAAUAUAGAUUUCUUAUAUUUCUAAAAAUCACAUUCUAUAAAAUUUAAGUUAUUAAAUUUUUUUUAUUACCACAUUUUAAUUAGAUUUUAAAACAUUUUCCAUAUAUGCUAUUAAAAAUUCUUAUAUUUUAUAUAAAAAUUAGUACUUUUUAUUAUCAUGAAACCAAUCAUAUCAAGUAACAAUUUUAAUACUAUAUACAUAUAACUUCUUAUAGAUUUUUCCAGCAUUUCCUAAAAUUUUCAUUUCAUCAAGACUGGUGUUCACAAUUUUUGAUAUUUUUACAAAAUAUCCCACAUCAAAUAAUAAUAUAGGAUUCCAAACUUUCAAAUCAUAUGCUACAACCAUAUUCUCAUCCCACCAACUCUUUUAACUUAACUUUCUUUGUGAAAAUGAAAAAUCACUUAUUCAGCGAUCUCAUUGCCCAACUCUUUUUCUGUUAACAAGAGAAACAAAGUUUAUAAUACAAGCAAGAAUCAAGUCUAUAGUUUUACCUAAUGGAUUAAGGAGUCACCAUUUGAAAAUCAAGUUUUUAUUUGGUUCAUGGUUAGAUGCUAGAUCCCAAAAUGUUAAUACGCAAGAAGCCCUCAGAUCUCAUACACGGUAAGGCUCAUGGUUUUCAUUAAAGGCCAGUCCACACCUUCAAAAUAAUAAUAAUAAUAAUAAUAAUUGUCAUAACACAGAGGCUGAUGAAGAAGGAGGAGAAGGGGGAGGCUAUUAAUGAAAACCAUAUAACCACACAUGAGUUUUCCAUCAUUGGGCAUUUGCUCACCACAAUGAAAAAGAUAACCACAAUUUCGGAUAUCCACCUGUGAUUCACUAGUGAUAUAAUGAGUUCAUCAAUCUAUACCAAUUGACCUUUUUAAAUAAACCCAUUCGAUGAUUCGAUUUCUUGAAAGGCAACAAGCUGAGGCAAAAAGCUUCUUGCUUAGCAGAUUGUCUGAAGUUCCAACUUGCAUAUAAACUCAUGCUCUUCAAAAAAGCAAACAUAGAUCUUUCUCAAAAGGCAAUAUUAAAAAACAAAGAAGUAAAAAUUCAGUGGGAGUGGUAAUGGCAUAUGAAAAUUUAAAACCAUAACUUUCAUCACAUGCUAAAACUGGGUUGAUCUAAAAGGAAAUGUAAGAGAAGUGAAGGACAAAAAAAAGAAAGAACCAGACAAUAACAUCUAUUGAUAGCCCUCAGAUCUCAUAGCUAUUAUUAGUCAUCGUCAGUUAUAACAAACUGAUUCUUAUUAAGAGCCUCCACAUCUUCAACCACAGUAGAAAAGAGAGAUAGAGAGAGAGAGAGAGAGAGAAAGAGAGAGGUGGUGGUGGUGAGGCUGAUGGUGAGGAUGAGAGUAAAGGCUCCUAAUAAAAAUCAAUUUAAACCCUCCACAAAAUAAGUUUUCCAUCAUCGGGCAGAUGUUCAUAUUGAUAUUAUUGUCGACUGAAAAAUCAGGAUACACCUAUAAUAAGAGAGGACUGCAUGCAAGAAAACAGUUCAUUUAUAAAAAAUAAAAAUAAAAAAACAGAAAGAAAGAUAAAAGAUGAAAUAAGAAAACCAAUUCAUAAACAAACAAAAUGUGUAAUUAUACUAAAACAAUUUGAGCUUAAAGCAGAAGUACAACAGGAAAAAUACAACAGCAGCUUAAACCUAUAAUCAGUUUGGGUGGGUCAGAUGUGUUCAGCUAAAUAAUGUUUCAAUGAUUAAAUGAAAUAGGACCAUAUGAAAAAUUAUGCAGUAUCUGCCCACCAAUAACCAAAAGAAAUAAACAAGGGCAAAUCCCAAAUAAAUAAAUUUUCAAAUCUCAAACCAUCAAUCUAAAUUAAGCUAUAGAAGUAAUAAUGCCAAGAAGAACAUCAACAGAAUACUAGAAAAAUCCAAGGAAUAAAUAAUGGAUAGGAUUAAAUGGAUGCAAUAUCCUCAAGAAAUGGACACCUGUAAAUACCACAAAAGCAAAUAGCUUACAAUUGGUCUAUAUCUUGUCAUAGCUGAGCACAUCUAUAAGAUAUACACACCACCAAAAUAACUUUAUUCUACUACAUAAUGUUGUUUAAUCAUAACAUCAACUUAUUCAAAUAUGCAAAAGGCAGUUAGUACAGUUCACCUGCUGAUCUUCAAGACUUAAACCAACCAGCACUGUACCCAUAUGAGAUAAGAAACACUCCAUUCACAUAAGCUUCCAGCACUAGUACCAUAGAAAAAUAAUACACAGUGCUAACUUCAACAUCACCCCCAUAGGCAUCGAAAUCUCAGAAAAUAACAAGACAAAACCAUUGGAUAUAACAAUAGUCUCCAAAACAAGUCUCAACUGGGCGAGUAUCAGUGAGAACUUCAUUCCCAAGAUUAAGAGCCAUUCAAAAUACUAGAAAAGCUCAAACUUCAUAUGAGACAAAAUGGGUUUUUUUUUUUUUUUUGCAAAUCAAGUUUCCAUUCGAAAAACAUAGAUAUGAAGAGUACAUUUACAUGGUUCUCAUUAACCUAAAAAGAUUGUCAACAGUUCAAUGUCUUAGAUGCCAUAUUACAAUAUAUAAACAAGUAAAGCCCUCAGAUCUCAUAGCUACCAAUAUUCAUAGAAGGUAAAGCUUGUAAUUUUCAUUAGAAGCCAAUCCACAACUUGAUAAUAAUAAGAAUGCUAACAGCAGUAGUAAGAAGAAGAAGAAGAAGAAGAAGAAGAAGAAGAUGAUGAUGAUGAUGAUGAGGGAGGCUCCUAGUGAAAACCACAGCAACCACACCAAAUAUGAGAAUUCCAUCAUAGGGCAGAUGGCCAAGAUUCAAAAGCUUUGUCAUCCAUGGUUUAUAGAAUGAAAUAGUCCAGAUAAUAAGAACAUAAAAGAGAGCAUAAUCACAAAGGAAGGAAUGGUAAGAAGAGGUCAGAAGAGCCAAAGAAGAAACGAGCAUAAAGACUCCCGCAGAAACCAUAAACAAAGCUGCUUCGGAAAAACACAUUCAGAAUUACAAGGAAGCAGAUUUCACAAUCAAUAGUAAUUGUAACAGAAGUUCUCAUUUGUUUAAAAGACAAUAAUAACACACGUUGUGCAUUAUGGGAUCAAAGAAAAGAUCAAGAAGCAACCCAUGUUAAGGACUUGCCUGACUUUUAGGGGAAAAAAAAAGGUGAUCAUAGGUACAACAAAGCACUUAAAACAGUGUAGACAAACUUGAUAACGCAACUUGGCCCCUCAAAUUUGUUGAAAAAUGGUGAGACUGAGGUUCCGACUAGUGCGUUUUUUAAUGAACCACACUGACCUCUCAAAAGGCUAUCUUAAUUAUAUAAUUCUGUGAAUAAAAAGGUCAAAACAUGCACAUAGUUAAAUUGAUCUCAAAUAAUAGCAGGAUAACAAAAUAAAGCACCCAUCACGUGUGUGACCCAUAGGAUGAAAAUCCGUUGCACCAAGUAAUUUCACUAGUCUUAACUCAGGUCGUAAGGGUAUAUUUCCAAUCAUUCAAAAAGUCAGCAACUUAAUUCAUGUAAUUGAAACUCCACCAGUAACCUAAUGACACCAAAAUAACAAUGUGAUAGUUGUCUGAUAUUUAAACCAAUCGAAAUCCAUUCUGAGGCAGUAGCAAUGAUAGAAGAAAACAUUUCAAUAGUUAUACCUAAACCCGAUUCAAAAACCAAAACACUUGAUCAAAUGAAACAAAAAAGAAAGGACGCAAUGGAUAGAAAAUCGCAAAAAAAAAAAAAAAACAUAGACAAAAAUAUACUAAAAAAGCCCUCAGAUCUCAUAGCUAUCAUAAGUCAUUGUUAGUAAAACAAACCGGUUUUUAUUAAGAGCCUUUCCACAUCUUUAUCCAUACUAAAGAGAAUGUGAAAGAUUGAGGGAGGAAGAGGAGAGAUAGAGAGAGAGAGAGAGAGAGAGAGAAAGCGAGAGAGAGAGAGAGAGAAGACAGAUUAAGAAGAAUAUGGCGAGGAUGAUAGUCAAGGCUCCUAACAAAAACGACUGCAACCCCCUCCAUAGAAUGAGUUUUCCAUCAUUGGGCAGAUGAAUUGAAAUAAUAACUAAUAAUCAGAACACCAGCCAUGAAUGCUUGUAAGAAACAAUUAUAAGUUUAAAAGAUUAAUUAAAAAAUUAAAAUAUAUAUAUAUCAUAAAAGAAAACAUAAUGAUCAAAACAAAUUGAAGACCACAAUAUUCUCCCUAUCUGAAGAUAAAUGAAACAAGACAUCAAGAUUUGUUUUCUUGGUUAAUAUUCAAAUAUGUUGACAAAACCAACAAAAACUCCAUACCAAAAAAGUAAUUGCAACAUUUAAAGGCAAAUGAUAUGAGAAGGGUGGUCAGAUACAGCUUUCUAGGCUAGCAUUUCCAUCAAUAUUACUCAGAGCCCAGUGCAUAUCAUCAUUCGUUCUAAAAAAUCAACAAAAGAAAGGAUAAAAAUGUCCAUUGAAUAAAACUCUAUUAUUCAAGAAAAAUCUUGCAACUGCAAGAUCCAUAAAAUCGACACCGCAUUUGAUGAAAAUCCUCAGAUCUCAUGCCUUUGAACAAACAAUCUAGGGUUUUGUACUCAAUCGCAUUCAUCAAAACCCUUUUCUAUAUAACACAGUAAUUCAUAAUAAAAACUAACAAACAACGUAGCCAUCCGACAGCUCCGCAGCCACCGUCGCAGGAGUCGUCAGCCCGGAGUGCGAGCAGAGGUAGAUGGGAUCAUGGGAAGAGGUAUAGAAUGACGUACGUAGGGUUUUAUCGCCCAUUUAUAGGCAGAGUUGAAUUCCUAAAAGAACCCUGGAUUUAGUCGUAAAUAUCUAGGUUCACCCGAUCUGGGCUUUUCUUUGGGUUUGGGCUUAUUUGAUAUAUCGAAAGUGAUGGGCCAGGCUAAGCUUUCGUGGGUUGUAUU